CAAGAGCUGACGUGUGCAGAAGUCCUUCUUGUCCUGGUCGUUGUUCCCGUCUGAGUACCAGCUCCCUAUUACCCUGAGGGCGGGCGGGCCUGCAACCGAGGAAAGAAGGAGGCGGAAAAGAAAUUGUCCCAGAUCCCUGCAGUCUUUCCGUAGGUUGUGGUACCACGCCAGGCAAGAGAAGAGGAAGGAAAUUAACCAGAUCGGUGAAGGUCGAUUUGAGGGUCUGCUGUAGCAGGUGGCACUGCUUGAAGCAAGGGAGGAACUUUCCCCGGAUCAGCAGAGAUCAAAAAGAUUAUUGGGUGUGGCAAUACUUCGCAGGAAAGGAAGAAGGGGCCAACUGCUUGUUUCCAGGAGGUUGACCUCCAGAACCAGUUAUUGUAGCCUUGAAGUGACUGAAGAAGAUCGUUCUCCACAGGCC